AGUUGACUCACUGUACAAGACCUCUCCCCUUCACUUCACUCUACUGCAGGGUGGGAGGUGCAACAAUGGUCAUGAGAACAGCAGGAAGUGUGUUGGUGGUCUUUCUCUGGUCUGUAGCAGUGGUACUGGGUCAGAAUGGCUGGAGUGUUACAUACACCACUCAGAGUAUCUGUACCUUGAAGGGGUCAACAGUGGAUCUGUCCUGCUUUAUCAGAUAUCCCAGUUGGCCUAAAGUCAAAACAACCUUCUGGUUCACCAAAAUGUAUGAUGUGGAGAAUUAUGUAAAUCUGAAAGAUGACCCAGUCUACCAAGGUCGUGUGACGUACCGUAGUGAUAAGACGAAUGGCCACACCCUGAGAAUCACAGACCUGAGAGAAAGUGACUCAGCUGAGUACAAAUUC